rnacentral:lncRNA from 1 species
UGCCACAAAAUAACCUUGAAUGGGUGUCCCACUCCUAUUUCUUUACUUAGUGGUGAUAACAACAACAUGAUAUCCAUACUAUCCAUUUCUCUUGCCGUCCCAAUUGACCUACUACUAAUUAUAUUUCAACUAUUUUUUUAGUUGCUUCUACAUCUUAAUCCACCUAAACCAAUAAUUAUAGUCUCAAGGAAAAAUUGAAACCCGUCUCGGAUUUUAAGUAUAAUACAGCCUUAAAUGGUUGUAGUUAAUACGUAUAUUGAAUUGAUGGCCCAUAAAAUCUUCCUAUUAAAAUGAUCCAUUAAAAAAUCCUUCAACUAUCCAAUACGGAUCAUACCAUUGGACUUAAAAUUUUCUUAGAAAAUUGUUAAAAUGACUAUCAUAAAGCAAGACCAAAUCAUUGGACAUAAAAUUUUUAGGUUGUAAUUUACUAUCGUAGUAACUUUUUCAUCUUUUUUAGAUAGCUUCCAUCGUUAAAAGAAUAAUAGCCCAAAUUUCAUCCAAUUCUUUCAAUUUUUCCAACCGGUAUUGCAUGGAUUCUUUAUCACUUAGUCAUUCAUCUAUUGUACUCUGUAAACUUUGGACUUUCAAUUCUAUAGGUAAGAUUAUAUCUUGCCCAUAAACCAAUUUGAACAAGGUAGAAUUGGUUGUCACUUUAUACGCUAUAUGGUAUGCCUAUAAGGCUGCAAAUAGUUUAGUAUCCCAAUCCAUGCCCGCC